rnacentral:lncRNA from 1 species
CCUCGCCUGCCUUCUCGCGCUGUUUCUAGCUCUCGCCAUCCCUCGGCGUACUCUUCCUCUCCUCCGAGUCAGAGUACCCUGGAGGGAUAAUGCUCUGCAGAUGAGGUUCUUGCUAUGUUGCCUAGGCUGGUCUUGAACUUCUGGCCUCAAGAAAUCCUCCUCCUGAUCCUCCUACCUCAGCCUUCCAAAGUGUUGGGAUUACAGCACUGGCUAGAACUUCCAUCCCUGUGGUGAAUAAGAGUGAUGAAAGUGGACACCAUCGUAUUAUUGAAUUGAAGGGAUGAAUUAGAAGAGCAAAGCUCAGUUGAGAUGCCAAG